UUAUUUAUAUCACUACUCUCUGUCUCAAAGAUUUUUACAAUUUGUGUGCGAUGCAAAAAUCAUUAGAAAAUGUCAUAUUCCUUACAAUGGCAUUUAUCUACAGAGGUCUCCACGUACAAUACAUUCUGCUCUACAAACACAAGUGGAGCCGUCGUACGACAUGUUCAUAACAGUAGCAAUUACUGGAGCACAGUAAGAGCCACACUCCGCAUAUUUGGAUCGAGUGGAUUUCUUGUUUUUACUGACCAAGACUGGAUGAAAAUGAAUACAAGCUUCUCGCAUUGCCCAGCCCCGAAAUUGCCUGGCACUGAACAGGUCACACCCGUGGCUUGUUAAUGCGUGGCGAACUUGAAGAUAUUCAAGACAGCCGCUAAAGAGUAAUACCGACAAAUAAAAUAUACUUGCGCC